UUUCCCUCAAUCUAGCCACGUUUUCUUUGAGACACGUAAGAUUUUGCAUAAAGAAAAAAAAAACGUUUUCUGUUACAAAACUCCCGCUUGGCAUUCCGUAGUGCGUCAAAUCUUUUUAACAUUGCUAUUUCCAUAAGCGAAUAUUUUAGAAUGAAUGUCUCGUGCGUGUUAAUAUUUCGUUGUUCAGUGAAUAGUGUUAAAACAUUCCAAGAUUUACUAAUAUUUGUGUGGUAUUUACUAAUAUAAUAAAUUUUAUGAAGGAAGCAAGAUUAAUGUACGGUUUUUUUGUGUGUAAUCCUCUCUGUUGUUGAUUAAAUCCUCUUAAACCACAUUGAAAGGUUUCUAGUUCUAUCUUACCCUAGUUUAUCCAACCCAAUAAAUGAAGAGGAUAAGAUUUUUGGGGGAUAAAUGUGAAGGAAACUAUUCUUUCGAUAAAUGUACCUUUUUUUAUGUCUAAUCCUUUAAAUUUGUUCAUCAGAUCCUCUUAACUCGCAUUUAAAGGUUUCCAAAUCUGUUAUACUUGUUUAUCUACCCCGACCAAUGGAGAAAACAGAAACUCGUACAUUAUCGUACAUUUUCUUAUUUCCCUUCUCCUAUAUAGACCACAAAACAUGAGAAUUUAAGCUUAUAUUGUAUUUAAAUCUCUUUGUUAUGGAGUAAUACAAACUUUAAAUAAAUAUACCGCCUUUCC